CCAAUAGCGUAUAUUAAAGUUGUUGCAGUUAAAAAGCUCGUAGUUGAAUUUCGGGAUCAGACUGUCGGUCGUGCCUCGGUACGCACUGGCAUUAUUGGUUCCUACCUUCUGAAGAACCGCGAUGUCAUUAAUUUGGUGUCGCGGGGAAUCAGGACUGUUACUUUGAAAAAAUUAGAGUGUUUAAAGCAGGCUUACGCUUGAAUACAUUAGCAUGGAAUAAUGAAAUAGGACGUUUGAUUCUAUUUUGUUGGUUUCUAGGAUCGACGUAAUGAUUAAUAGGGAUAGUUGGGGGCAUUAGUAUUCAAUUGUCAGAGGUGAAAUUCUGGGAUUUAUUGAAGACAAACUACUGCGAAAGCAUUUGCCAAGGAUGUUUUCAUUAAUCAAGAACGAAAGUUAGGGGAUCGAAGACGAUCAGAUACCGUCGUAGUCUUAACCAUAAACUAUGCCGACUAGGGAUCGGAUGAUGUUAAUUUUAUAAUGACUCAUUCGGCGCCUUACG
rnacentral:rRNA from 1 species